UGCAGUCGAACGAAGUAGCAAUACUUAGUGGCAGACGGGUGAGUAACAUGUAGGUAUCUGCCCUUUGGCCUGGAAUAACACGAGGAAACUUGUGCUAAUACCGGAUAAGUCUUCACGGAGAAAGCUUUAUGCACCAUUGGAUGAGCCUGCACUUGAUUAGUUUGUUGGUAGGGUAAUGGCCUACCAAGACUGUGAUCAAUAGCUGAUUUGAGAGGAUGAUCAGCCACAUUGGGACUGAGACACGGCCCAAACUCCUACGGGAGGCAGCAGUGGGGAAUCUUGCACAAUGGAGGAAACUCUGAUGCAGCGAUGCCGCGUGAGUGAAGAAGGCCCUUGGGUUGUAAAGCUCUUUCGUCGGGGAAGAAAAUGACUGUACCCGAAUAAGAAGGUCCGGCUAACUUCGUGCCAGCAGCCGCGGUAAUACGAAGGGACCUAGCGUAGUUCGGAAUUACUGGGCUUAAAGAGUUCGUAGGUGGUUGAAAAAGUUGGUGGUGAAAUCCCAGAGCUUAACUCUGGAACUGCCAUCAAAACUUUUCAGCUAGAGUAUGAUAGAGGAAAGCAGAAUUUCUAGUGUAGAGGUGAAAUUCGUAGAUAUUAGAAAGAAUACCAAUUGCGAAGGCAGCUUUCUGGAUCAUUACUGACACUGAGGAACGAAAGCAUGGGUAGCGAAGAGGAUUAGAUACCCUCGUAGUCCAUGCCGUAAACGAUGUGUGUUAGACGUUGGAAAUUUAUUUUCAGUGUCGCAGCGAAAGCGAUAAACACACCGCCUGGGGAGUACGACCGCAAGGUUAAAACUCAAAUGAAUUGACGGGGACCCGCACAAGUAG
rnacentral:rRNA from 1 species